ACGCACACUAUGCACAAAUUCAUUUACAUACACAAAAGUUGCAGUAGGGGCUGGAGUAGGAGAUGGAGACAAAUUGACAAGCGUGAUUUAUUUUUGCGGAGAGAAUGUGCAGGACUGAGCGGCAGACAUAUUUUGUAACCGCUUUGCGGUACAUGUAAUUAUAGUACCAAACAUAGAAGCAUCUGUCCUAUUUGGUGAAGGGACACUAACAAAAAUAUGAAUUUUGUCCACCUUCAAAUGAUAAUGACUGUCUUGUGUUACACCUAUAAAUAUGUAAAUAAGUGUUUGCCCAUUUAGGUCUUUCAGAUAAAAAUGUGUUGUUGCCUCAACAUACCUGCUGUGCAUGUAAUUUAUUUUCUUUCUAGAAAUCGCAGCAUGAAAAAAGGCAUGUUUGGUUAGAUUAGAAUUAAAUUCUGUCAUGUAAGUAGUACAUUUUGGCUGUCUCUUAAGCCAGCUGUUUAAUACAUUUUGUGUGUGCGGGUAUUGAUUUGACCCAUACUGUAUCUUACCCUUGUACUUUCCCUCAGACUGCCUUCGAGUUUCUUAUCCAGAGAAUACGGUUACUUCGCUCCUGUGCAAAGCCAAGUCGCAUGCUCAUUACGUUGUGAUAGCAUUGUUUUCGGACAAAAAGUUUAUUACUCAGCCGUAAAGUCAGUUACGAGGUUAUGACGCCAAUCACACAAUGUUGUAUUUUUCCCAAAAUAGAAAAGGCUCAUAUAAAGGCUUAAAACGCUUCAGAUGUAAUGUAACGUUAUUGGAUGUCAAAGUGACGCCAAAAUGAAUGGGGGUCAAUGGAAUGCUAGCUGGAAGUGGUCGACUUCUAGCCUCAAACCUGCCCAUAGUAGCUACACCCUCCGAACGUUCGCCUGCCCCCUUGCUUAUAAUGGAACUGUUUCCAUUAUACUGUUAACCACUUGGUGAGUUGCACAGUUUUGAAAACGAAUCCUAAGUAGUCAGAAAAGUCGAGAAAGGACCAAUCGUCAAAAUUUCGGUGUCCACCACUCUAGUUCAUCCAAAACAAACCAGAGAAGUGCUAAAUACAGGAAUUAUCCUUUAACUUUGGGGAGUGGAGAUUUGUUGUUCUCCUUUAAGUGAAACCAUAAUGCUCUGCUAAUAUUGAUUUGCCUGCUGGCCUGUGGAUCAGCGACCAACCUGCCCCGUGGUAUGACUGCACUUCACCCUCUGGGUCUACUGCUGUCUGACCGCACACGCUGAGUAAAGCUGACAUCCUCCAGGCUGUUCAGAGGAAGACGCUGGUUUAGACUUAACUCAGAUACUCACCAAAGUUCUAAGGUGUGGAGGCCUUCCGUAUCCCAGGGCUUGCUGAUUGGGUCUUUAACACGCUAUUGAUAUAUAACGAGGCCAUGGAGAUGAUUGGCAAGAUAGUUGAUCGAAAGAAACUUGAAGCUGCAUUUAGCAUAGCCUAUGAAACAGGAGCAGGUGUGAUUGAGGUAAUUGAGGUAACAGGUAACCUUGUGAUGGACGUCAACAGACAUCUCUUUAAAUAACUUUACUGUCUGUGACUUCUUCAUUGAAGUGGAACCAACCACAUUGCAUUGCUCAUCAUCAAUCUGUUAAAAAAAAAAACCCAGCUAUUGUGAAGACACUAAACUAAGAGCAAAAAGAUUUUCUUUCUUCACUUUUAUUACACUUAUAUUAAAUGAAACGUUGUUAUGGAUGGUAAAGGGCUUCUUACUCUGGAAAUGUUUCAUCUGACUUUCAAUCCCACAAAAGAUUUUACAUGGAAUUAUGAAGAAUUACAUUGAAUUAAAGUUAUAUUGAAGGCAAUUAGGUUGGUCUUGUACAGCACCAAAGUUUUAAAUAGUUUGAAUCAUUACGGUGUUGCACUAACAAUGAAUCAUGUGUAAACUGAGAUUUUGUCUGAACUGUGACAAAAGCAGCUCCUAGUGGUCAUAUGUUGUAAAUAUGUUUUGCACUUUGCAUGUCUGCUUGAACUUUUUCCUGAAUAAUAUAUCUGCCUAUAUAUAUUUGAUAUGACUAUAUGAUUAUAAACUCAAAAUGUUAAAGCAAUGCUUAUUAAUGUCAUUGUAAGUCACUUUAGACUAAAUUUAGCGUCUGCUAAAUACUAUAAAUAAAACUAUA